rnacentral:lncRNA from 1 species
GUACCAUAUCUCUCUGGGUUGCAAGUCAAGGUUUACAAAUAUACAAAUUGAAAUAUUUCAACAUGAGAGAAGAGAGCCUGGAAGAAGUUGCCAGCCCUGUCACUUCCCUGAACGGCAAAUGUGGUCUCUCACUUCCUUAAUCCACAUUCAUUCCUGGGGCCCUCUUGUCUCUUAUAUCUAUGCCAGGAAUCAACAAUGCUUAAAACCUAUUAUGAAGUUUUCAAGGUGUUCAAGAUGGAGGCAUGAUUACACAACUAGCCAAGUGCAUAGCCCAAUAAAG